rnacentral:lncRNA from 1 species
AAUUAAAAUUUAUUUAUCCAUUUACAUUGCCUCCAGGUACAUAAUUCCAGCAAGAGACCCGAAACAAGAUGUACAAAAUGUCUCCCACUCCAUGAGGCUCCUGGUGGUGAACGUCCAGUCCUGGUCAUCCUCAUGCUCGCCACCCUCACAUGACUUGACUUCUGACUCAUGAGCUCUGCAUCUGCACCCUCCCACAACUUUAGAAGUACAAUCAUAGAAUCCAGGGCUCCAAAGUGUGGACCCUUAUCCACCCUUAGCACCUGCCCCCGCAUGGGAGAGCUCUUCUCAGCUCCUUUGAGAUGGAGAUGCAGGUGGCAUGCAGGUAAGAUGAGGAGAAGGAGGACCUGAGGUCCCUACUUUCUGCUCCAUGCUUCUGGGGGAGUCCAGGCCUGGCCAUCCACCGUCUCCAUGCUCAGGGCCAAGCAGCUGCAGAGGCUGCAGGUUGCUCUGAGGUGGGACAGACUAUGCAGGGUCACUGUUGGUAAUGAUGUUUUCAAGUGCUCAUGGAUGGUGUGGUUGCCAUGGUGAUGCCCUUGGUUCUGAACAGGCAGUAGCCUCUCUUGAGUUGUGAGUCAGGUUCUGUUUUAUUUUUUUAAAAACAAAACCAGGCGCCCUGACCUACGGGAGACAAAGCGGAGCUGCAGGUGGAGGCCACGGCGUCACUGCGGGGGUGUGAAUCAGGGGUGCUAUGUGCAGUCCUGGGGUCCCCUGAUGUCAGCUGGCCCCGCUUGCUGUGGGCCUGGGAGCAUCCACAGAGGUAAGCGGGGAGGCCAGACCUCAAUCUGUGGCCCAGGAAGUGAACACAAUCAGAACCCACUCUCCUGGUUGGAAGCCACUUACUAGAAGGCAGGUCCCAUUCCUUAGCUGCAGUCCCAGGACCAAAAUGGAACCUCCAGGGACUCUGCCCUGCUCCUCAGACACCGGAGUCUUCAGGGCCCACAGAGGUGGAGCAUGCGCUGGCCAGCCUCAGCCAAAUGAAGGACAGGGCCUGGCCCAGAGAUGACCAGUGCUGAGCUGGCCCACCCACGAGUGUGACACACAGGAGCACCCGCCCCGACGUCCAGGCUGAACCCAGUCAUCCCUUUGAGAGGGGCAGGGUCCUGGAAAGACCAGGGAGGCCACAAAAAUGUUCUCCCAGGGCCUGAACUUCUGGGGUGGGGCUCCCUUUCCCAGCACUCCACAGGGGAGGGGUAAAGGCAGUAAUGACUCGGGCCUCAAUGCCGGGCCUUGUGUCACCCUCCAGGGGAAUGAUACAGGAACCCUCUUCCUUGGCUUGGACACUGUCCCAGCACCUUAGACCUAUAGGUGUAGGGGCCAGGAAGCCUGCUCAUGUGUCUGGGCUCCCAGAGAUUGAGUAGGAGGGAUUGAUUCCUCCCUCUCCCACAGUCUGAUGGCCAGAAGACUUGCCCCCUAACCAACCCUGGACUCCCAGUCCUGCUCCACGUCGGCCUUCGUUAUUUCGCGUUAUUGAUUAUAGUGGAUAGGUCAGUAGGUGCCGAGCUCUAUGUGACUGAGCUCCCACCCCCAUCGUAGUGUGGGGUGUGAUGUAGUCAUAGCACCUUCUCCCAGGGCAGCUGGAGGGUGAAAUGCAAUCGUAUUUGCAGAUGUUUCACACAGAACCUGGCCGGCGCAGACAAGCAGAAGUGACUCUUACCAGUGCUGGCUUUUGUUCAGGCCCUUAGCCCAUCUUGCCUGGCUAACGGCUACAGUCUCUUGACGUCACUGGUCAAUUGCAGUCUUGCUCCUCUCCAAUCCAUUGUCCAUGCCACAGCGGAGUGAUUUAUCUCAAUGCAGUCCCAACCAUGUGAUUUUCCUCCGUAAAAUCUACCGAUGGCUCUCAUUUGCCUUCAGGGUAACGCUUAGAUGGUCAACAAGGUCCCUCAACGUCUAGCCAUUGGCUGCCCUCUCCUGCCCCGUAUUUCCUCACACGUUCCUGGCCAGAAGCAAGUGUGAGAAGUGUUCUCCAGACACUUCUGAUUCUAGCCUCAUCUGUACCUUCAGAAUUUUUGCCGCAUUCUUCCCUUGGUCCAGAGCACCCUUUCUCUUUCUGGGCACCUAGCAAACACCAGCCCCUCCCCUUCAAGAACACAUCCUGAAAAUUCCCACCAUCCUGAAACCUCUCUUCAAGCACAGAGUCCACCACUUCCUCCUCUGAGCCACUUUGGUGCCUUCCAUAAAGACAAUUACCCAUGACACUGCAAUGAUUGCUGUCCAUGCCUGAGACCCUUUCCAGUUUCAUGAGGAAGCAUGGAUUCUAAUUUCCAUAUCCCUGGAACACACGGGAUCAUCACAUCUAGAGAUGAGCGUCCCUAGAUGAAUGAAUGAAGACAUAGAAGAGGAAACUGAGGCCCAGACAGGAGUAGUGACAUGGCUGACGUGGAGUCGGGAAUCCUGGAACUCCAGCGGCUCUGACUCCAGGGACUCUGGACCAUUCAUUUGUUCCUCAGUCACUUCCAAAGCACCAGUGAGACUCCAGACACUGUGUUGUACCCUGAUACAAAGAUCCAGGAGCCACCUGGCCCUCAGGAGCCCACAGGCAGGUGGAACAGAAUGACCAUGUCCUUGAUUACAAACUGUGACGGAGGGUGUAGAAGGAGCUGCAGGAAAUCCAGGGACAUGGUGGUGAGAGGAAGCCACUAGCUCGGGCUGAAUGUUUGUUUCCCCGUCAAAAUUCGUACAUUGAGGGGCUGGGAUUGUGGCGCAGUGGUAGAGUGCUCGCCUUGUAUGCGUGAGACACUGGGUUUGAUCCUCAGCAUCACAUAAAUAUAAAAUAAAGAUAUUGUGUCCAUCUAAAACUAAAAUAAAUAAAUAU